AAGUUUUUCUUUACUUUUUAAAGAGUAAAUUCUCUCACCUCAGGUAGCUCAGAGAGCUGCGCUGGAGGAGAAAAGCCAGUCCUGGCAGGAGCUCUGGUACCUGGGAAGCUGGAUGGAGAGCCUGGGCCAGAAUCCCGGACCCCUCACCUCUGCGGCCUAGCUUUGUGACCUUGGCAAAUCCAUUCUAUGCACCUCCAUUUCCUGUACAGUGGGGAUCCUUAUUUCUCUGGCACAGAUUGGUAUUUGUUCUGUAAAGCCCAGUACCACUUUAUUUUAUUUUAGUUAUUGAUUUUUUUGAGACAGGGCCUCACUCUGUUGCCAAGGCUGGAAUGCAGUGGCGAGAUCAUAGCUCACUGCAGCCUCAAACUCCUGGGCUCAGGCCAUCCUCCUGCCUCGGCCUCCUGAGUAGCUGGGACGACAGGCGUGCACCACUGCGCCUAGCUCCAGUACCAUGUUUAAACGGUGCUCAGAAAACGUGCUAAACUUGGUGGAUGGGAAUUGAAAAGAGAUUUAAUGUUUUAAAAAUCAAAGUCACUCAGCUGCAGUGCCACAUGGGAAGGAGGCCUGGAUGUGAAUGUUCCUGGGAGCUGAGAGCUCCUGUGACUGUCGCCAGUUUCCUGUGGUCUCCCACAGACUCAGGACAUCUCCCUCUGCUCCAGGACACCUCAGGACCACCAGAGGGCACUCAUCGCACCUUCACCCCUGGAAGGGAGCUGGUCCUGGGGCCAAAACCCACUGUGCCUGGGAAGCCCUUCCUGGCUUCUGCUCUCCUCAAUGUAUGACAGCCCUGAUUUACCCCCAGGGACUGUUGCCACUCGGGGUUGUAGAGUAAUAUGUAACCAGACUGGAGAACCACAGCAAUGCUCUCUCCUCUGCCCAUCACCUCCCCUUGGCCCCUCCCUCUUCAUCAGCCCCAUUUUGGAGAAGGGAGAAAGAAGGGAGAGGCAGCAGUCUCCUCCCAGGUGGGGCCGGACUCCAGGGAAGGAGAAUUUUCAGAAGUUGCUGGAGUUGCCGAAUCUGUCAGGGCCCAGGGUUCACAGAGCAGUGAUGGAGGAGAAAGGAGAGGAAGCAGAUCUAAGCACACAUGGGCAUCAAACCAGAGGAACAAAGUCACAUGCAGAGGGCUGCACAUAGACACAGGGAAACACACACACGGAGAUGCACAGAAACACGCAGACCCCAUGCAGGGACCUGCUUUCCCGCCACAGAGGAAAGCAAUCUGAUCAAACAGACCCACUGUGCACCCAGCCCUCCAUGCUUGGGGACAACACACCUACAAAAAUAUAAGAAAAAAAAGGAAAA
rnacentral:lncRNA from 1 species